rnacentral:lncRNA from 1 species
ACCCCGUCCUCGUCCCCGGGUCCCGUCACUCCGAGAACACCCCGCCCCCCGUCCUCGGCUCCCGUUACCCCAAGAUGACCCCUCCCCGCCCCCCUCCUCUGGUCCUGUCACCCAGAGAAGACCUCUCCCCGCCCCCCAUCCGCGGGUCCUGGCACCCGAGGAGACCCCGGCCUUGUCCCUGGGCUCCCGUCACCCUGGAGCGACCGGGUCCUCGUUCCCGGGUCCCGUCACCCCAAGGAGAUCCUGUCCCCAUCCCAGGCGUCCCAUCACCCUGGGAGACCCCAUCCCUGGAGUCUCGUCCCCCCAUCCCUGGGGCCCUGUCACCCCGGGGAGAUCCCGUCUCCCCUCCCCUGGUCCCUGAGGUCCCGUCACCCAAGGGAGACCCCGCCCACCACCUCUGGGAUGCCAUAACCCUGAAGAGACCACAUCCCUGGGGUCCCGACACCCCAAAAAGGCUGGGUGCAGUCCCCGAAGCCGCUCAGCCCGAGGUGGGACACGUGCCACGGCCCGGGCACCUGGGAGGGAGGAGCAGCCGAGGGCAGUGUCCGGGUGGAGAGAGGACUCAGGUGGUUGCACCGCUGCGUGUCCUGCGGGAAACCUCUCCGGAGGAGCAGGCCCAGACAGCAGGUGCAGAGCAGAUGGAGCCCGCCCCAUGCCGGCUUCAAGAAGCCCCCAUACUCUCUGUCCCUGAAAAGAAUACGUACUGA